CCGUCAGGGACUGCGGAGGAUCAUUA
rnacentral:rRNA from 1 species